UAUCAAUAAGCGGAGGAAAAGAAACCAACAGGGAUUGCCCUAGUAACGGCGAGUGAAGCGGCAACAGCUCAAAUUUGAAAUCUGGCUUCGGCCCGAGUUGUAAUUUGCAGAGGAUGUUUAUGGUGCGGUACCUUCCGAGUUCCCUGGAACGGGACGCCACAGAGGGUGAGAGCCCCGUCUGGUUGGAUACCAAACCUGUGUUAAACUCCUUCAACGAGUCGAGUAGUUUGGGAAUGCUGCUCUAAAUGGGAGGUAAAUCUCUUCUAAAGCUAAAUACCGGCCAGAGACCGAUAGCGCACAAGUAGAGUGAUCGAAAGAUGAAAAGCACCUUGAAAAGGGGGUUAAACAGUACGUGAAAUUGUUGAAAGGGAAGCGUUUAUGACCAGACUUGUGUCGUGUGGCUCAUCCGAGGUUCUCCCCGGUGCACUCCACACGGCUCAGGCCAACAUCGGUUCUCGUUGGGGGAUAAGAACAGUAGGAACGUGGCCCCUCUCGGGGGGUGUUAUAGCCUAUUGUACGAUACUCUGACGGGGACCGAGGACCGCGCUUCGGCUAGGAUGUUGGCGUAAUGGUCAUUAGCGACCCGUCUUGAAACACGGACCAAGGAGUCGUCCAUUAGAGCGAGCGUUUGGGUGUAAAACCCGCACGCGUAAUGAAAGUGAAAUUAGGUGAGAGCUUCGGCGCAUCAUCGACCGAUCCUGAAGUUUACGGAUGGAUUUGAGUAAGAGUUUUAACGGACGGACCCGAAAGACAGUGAACUAUGCUUGAAUAGGGUGAAGCCAGAGGAAACUCUGGUGGAGGCUCGCAGCGGUUCUGACGUGCAAAUCGAUCGUCAAAUUUGAGCAUGGGGGCGAAAGACUAAUCGAACUGUCUAGUAGCUGGUUACC
rnacentral:rRNA from 1 species